GAGACAGGGGUAACUGCAGCCUGGAGCAAUGGGCGUGCCAAAAGGUUUCUCAUUGGUCAAAGGAGUUUUACUGUGUGUUGGCCAAUCAGCGGUAAAUAUACAUGUACGUAAUUUCCUUUAGACAAGAGAAGGUGGCGGCGAUAAGACAUGGUGUAAUUAUUCAUCACACGUUUAUCUAUGCUUUAUAUACCACAAAUAUGUAUAUAAAGAUAGCUUGUUACAAUACGAUCAUAAUUUUCCCUUUGCGUUAUAUCUUGCAGCUUUAGUAAUUGGUUUAUUGUUGUUGACAGACAUACUGUAUGUACAGUGAGACAAAACGAUGACCGCAUCUGCAUCGAAGCUCUCAGAGCUGGUAGUUUGUAUCGGCGUCCUUUUUGUGCAAUACAGUACAGAAUACAUCCUGUAUCCAACUAAUGCAGAGUAUAUUCAAGUUGCCAACACACUGGUUGUGAAGAACCCUUUCCUGAGAAAUAUAGAAGGAAAUGACUGUGAAACUUGUGUUGGGGAGGAUUCAAUGUCUUUUGAGAACCAUGUGAAUGUGCUACAAAGUGAGUAUCAGAAAACACCUCCAGACACCUGGACUGUCAAAGACCACACGGCAGGAACAUUCUCCUGGAGACGCUGAGAAAGCACGGAAGGAAUGUCUGUGGAGGAUGUACUCAAAAAACACCCAUACUUAAGGACACCUGCUGGAUUCUGCACUGUAUGUAGCUACGCUGUCUGAGCCAAAGAGGAUGGAACAGAAUCUGAUGAAUUUGAAAAGU
ensembl:lncRNA